UGUUUAAUAUAUAUAGUUUUCACUGGCCUU
rnacentral:piRNA from 1 species